CCUACGGGCGGCAGCAGUGAGGAAUAUUGGUCAAUGGCCGGAAGGCUGAACCAGCCAUGCCGCGUGAAGGUCAGUGCCCUAUGGGCGUUAAACUUCUUUUGUGCGGGAGCAAUAAUGGUCACGUGUGGCCAGACGAGAGUACCGUACGAAUAAGCAUCGGCUAACUCCGUGCCAGCAGCCGCGGUAAUACGGGGGAUGCAAGCGUUAUCCGGAUUUAUUGGGUUUAAAGGGUGCGUAGGCUGUGGGGUAAGUCAGCGGUGAAAUGCCCCCGCUCAACGGGGUGAAGUGCCAUUGAUACUGCCUGGCUGGAAUGCGGAUGCCGUGGGAGGAAUGUGUGGUGUAGCGGUGAAAUGCAUAGAUAUCACACAGAACACCGAUUGCGAAGGCAUCUCACGAAUCCGCGAUUGACGCUGAUGCACGAAAGCGUGGGUAUCAAACAGGAUUAGAUACCCUAGUAGUC
rnacentral:rRNA from 1 species